UCUUGUGGAAGCUGAACAAAAUGCAAUGAAGCUUUUCUAAACCCAGUUUUCAACAAUUUUCACCGAUGAAAACAUAAAUUUUAUAUUACUUCAGGGUUUAUUCUUCUCAAAUCUUCCAUUCUCCUUCUCAAACACUGAAACCCUAACCUUCUCUGAAAUGAAGUCUUCCCAAAUAUCCCCUUAAUCGAAAUCCCAAAUCUUCCCUUGAAUUCACAACGGCAUGGCAAAGAAGGAGAAUUUGAAAGCCAAUGCAACAGGGUACGAACAAGUCAAUGAAACAAGCGAAAAUCUCGAGGGUGCUUCCCCGCUAUCACUCAUGUUCAGCAGCGAUGAUGUCGAUGAAGAAGCCAAUCAAGAUUUGAGUAUCAGAAUCGUGGAAAAGGCCCUACGAAACUGAGAGGCAAAGCUUACACCAAACGACGUCGUUUUGAACGGUAUUGAUUCUUCUCUGGUUUCACCGUCGCACCAAUAUGAAUUCGAUGCAAAGCGACGUUUUGGAUAUAGCUGUUUGGGAAGUGAUGGAAGAGAAGAAAACGACGAAGUUGAUGAUGGACUCUGGGGAUUCAAGUGUUAAUAUAGUUGCAGAUCAAGAGGUGGAAGAGAUAAUUAAAACUUCAGAAAAUCAUGAGUCUGUGGAAUUGGAAGCAAGUCCAGUUCAGAUAUGUGACAAUGUGGUUCUGCGAAAGCUGCUUGUGAAAAAGGUAUGACAUUAAAUAUUCCAGAAGAUCUUGCCAUCGGCCUCGGUACUAGUGAUACCGUGAGGAGGUCGAUGCUCCAAAUUAUGAUAUGGAAGUGCACCUUGGCCUGGAACAACACCAGAGACCAUCCAGGAAUGAUCCAAUAUUAAUAAUAAGAAAUUUUUUUGUUGUAUAACUCCAAAUUCAUAGUUAUUGUUUGCUUUGUAUUCGGAGUGAUAUAUAUCUUCAUCGCGAUAAAAACUUUAUGCCUCAAAACUCGGCAGCAUGGAGUGCUUGCGAUUUUCUUGGAAGUAACAACAACAAAGUUUGUGUGACAUAUUGGCUAAACAUCAAGGUUCAAAAUGUAUAUUGAUACUCACUUUGAAGGACCUUCCCUUUUUCCCAAUGAUUCUCCUGAUAAGGAGUUUACUGAAGAAAUUCUAUCUUACACAGAUACCUUUUACAAGACAGUUAUUUCUUCUUUUAAAGGAGAUGUGAAUGAGGCUGGUA